GCUCAGAUUGUGACCCUUGGAAUGGGAGCCCUUGCUGUAUUCCUAACCUGGAAAGUGCUUCCGUUUCGAGCCUCACCAUUUGAGA
rnacentral:pre_miRNA from 1 species